UACAGAGGGGGCAAGCGUUAUUCGGAAUUAUUGGGCGUAAAGGGCGCGUAGGCGGCCUGGCAAGUGGAAGGUGAAAUCCCUCGGCUUAACCGAGGAACUGCCCUCCAAACUGCUUGGCUUGAGACCGGGAGAGGUGAGUGGAAUUCCCAGUGUAGCGGUGAAAUGCGUAGAUAUUGGGAGGAACACCAAUAGCGAAGGCAGCUCGCUGGGACGUUACUGACACUGAGGCGCGAAAGCGUGGGGAGCGAACAGG
rnacentral:rRNA from 1 species